GAUGAACGCUGGCGGCGUGCCUAAUACAUGCAAGUCGAGCGAACAGACGAGGAGCUUGCUCCUCUGACGUUAGCGGCGGACGGGUGAGUAACACGUGGAUAACCUACCUAUAAGACUGGGAUAACUUCGGGACACCGGAGCUAAUACCGGAUAAUAUAUUGAACCGCAUGGUUCAAUAGUGAAAGACGGUUUUGCUGUCACUUAUAGAUGGAUCCGCGCCGCAUUAGCUAGUUGGUAAGGUAACGGCUUACCAAGGCAACGAUGCGUAGCCGACCUGAGAGAGGGAUCGGCCACACUGGAACUGGGACACGGUCCAGACGACUACGGGAGGCAGCAGUAGGGAAUCGGACGCAAUGGGCGAAAGCUUGACGGAGCAACGCCGCGUGAGUGAUGAAGGUCUUCGGAUCGUAAAACUCUGUUAUUAGGGAAGAACAAAUGUGUAAGUAACUAUGCACGUCUUGACGGUACCUAAUCAGAAAGCCACGGCUAACUACGUG
rnacentral:rRNA from 1 species